CCUGGUGGCUCUGAAGGUAAAGAAUCUGCCUGCAAUGCAGGAGACCAUGGUUCAAUCCCUGGGUCAGGA
rnacentral:tRNA from 1 species